GGGCCCGCACAAGCGGUGGAGCAUGUGGUUUAAUUCGAGGCAACGCGAAGAACCUUACCAGCUCUUGACUUCCCGAUCGGGGCACCGGAGACGGAGCUCUUCAAUUGGUCGGUGACAGGUGCUGCA
rnacentral:rRNA from 1 species